UACAACCAUAUCAUGUUGAAACACCGGUUACGUAUGAUCACUAAAGUUAAGCAAUGUUCAGUCUGAUCAGUACUUAGAUGGGUGACCGUUUGGGAAUACUAGGUGCUGUAA